AUGGUGCUCCUCCGCCAUGGCGUCACCUUCCUCAUUCAGCAUCCCCCACCACCCAACGCCGACGCCCACUAUCUUGAGCUCGACGCACAUGUUGUUCUCUGGAUGUACUCCACCCUCGCAGACUCGAUCGUUGAUCAUGUGAUCGGCGCUACCACCAUCCACGCCCUCUGGACUCGGAUCCAACAUUACUUCCUCGCAGAUCGCGCCGCUUGCUACAUGAUCCUCAAUCGCCAAUAUCGCAAUCUUAAACAGGGAGAUCUCUGUGUGGAUGAGUAUGUGUGUCGCAUGAAGUUGCUCACUGAUGGCCUCGCCGACAUAGAUCAUGCGGUGACCGAGAUCGACCUCACCACUCUGUUUCUCCAUGGCCUCGACCAACGCCUCGACACCAUCUGGGUCGUGCUGGGCGACACCGUUCCCCUCCCACCCUUCGAGGUUGUCUUCUAACAAGUCAAGCUUGCCGAGGAGAACCUCACGCAACGUUCCUCCGAGUCCAGCGCCACCGUUAUGGUGGUGCACGGGACCGAUGCUCUUCCCAGUGGCUCCAGCGGUGCUUCUGGCUCCUCUCCCACGGGCGGCUCUGCUCCACGCCCGGGUGAUCGGGUGGAUCGCUCUCAGGAACGUGUCCCUGACCGGGGCCACGGACAGCAACAGGGCCGCCGCCAAGCUCCCGCUAGGGUGACGGGGCCGCAGUGA
rnacentral:rRNA from 1 species